GACGAACGCUGGCGGCGUGCUUAACACAUGCAAGUCGAACGGAAAGGCCCUGCUCUUGUGGGGUUCUCGUGUGCCGCACGGGUGAGUAACACGCGUGUAUCCCGCCCCUGUCUUUGUGAUAACUUCAGGGAACUCCGGCUAAUACCGCGUAGGAUCUCCUGCUGCGUGGUGGUGGUUGGAAAGUUUCGGCGGUUGUGGCUGGACUGGCGGCUUAUGCGCUGCUUUGUCUGGUAGUGGCUUACCAAGGCUUCGACGGGUAGCCGGCAUGAGAGGGUUACCGGCCACAUGGGGACUGAGAGAGGGACCAGAAUCGUACGGGCGGCAGCAGUGGGGAAUAUUGCGGAAUGGGCGGAAGCCUGAGGCAGCAACGCCGCGUGCGGGAUGAUGGCUUACGGGGUGUAAACCGCUGUCGCCUGUGACGAAGCGUGAGUGACGGUAAUGAGUAAAGAAGCACCGGCUAACUACGUG
rnacentral:rRNA from 1 species